rnacentral:rRNA from 1 species
UACGAAGGGGGCUAGCGUUGCUCGGAAUCAUUGGGCGUAAAGGGCGCGUAGGCGGCUUGACAAGUCAAAGGUGAAAUCCCUCGGCUCAACUGAGGAACUGCCUUUGAAACUGUCUGGCUUGAGGCCGGGAGGGGGUAGCGGAAUUCCCAGUGUAGCGGUGAAAUGCGUAGAUAUUGGGAGGAACACCAGUGGCGAAGGCGGCUACCUGGACCGGUUCUGACGCUGAUGCGCGAAAGCGUGGGUAGCAAACAGG